GCUGUGGAACAGAGAGGCUGGCCUCGGCACGGUCCAGAAGCCCCCUCAAGUGGGAGCACAGCCCAGCACCAAUCAAGCAUGACCGGGGGUCCCCAGGCAUCUGGGGCUGUUACCGGAAAUGAAAAAUAAAUGGCACCACUUGAAGUUAUAGGCACUUGCUGACAAAAAGCUACACCACUGAAGGCAUGAAUCACCAUGACAGCAUGUGCACGCGUGUUCUUUCCCCACUCGCAGAAGACAGCCAAUGCUUUUAAGCUUUGCUUUGAAAAAAAUUUUUUUUUUAACUCAGAUAAUUUUCCAGGAUUUUAUUCAGCCGAAUUCCUCAAAUGCGCUUUGUUUUUCCAAUCAUGGAUCAGCAGAGGCAAUUUUCAGAAUGACUCUGGAGGGAUUACUUUUCUAACGUGUUUCUUCCCAGAGACCCGCUUGCCUCCUUUUGAGCUGAACGUUACUUCCUUCUCCCAUGAUAGAGAAACUCUGAUGGCAUCAAAACUGUAA
rnacentral:lncRNA from 1 species